rnacentral:rRNA from 1 species
UACGAAGGGUGCAAGCGUUAAUCGGAAUUACUGGGCGUAAGCGUGCGUAGGCGGUUGGCUAAGUCAGAUGUGAAAGCCCUGGGCUCAACCUGGGAAUGGCAUUUGAAACUGGCCGGCUAGAGUGUGAUAGAGGAUGGCGGAAUUCCCGGUGUAGCGGUGAAAUGCGUAGAGAUCGGGAGGAACAUCCGUGGCGAAGGCGGCCAUCUGGAUCAACACUGACGCUGAGGCACGAAAGCGUUGGGGAGCAAACAGG